GGCAAGAUGACCGAGUGGUUAAGGUGUAAGUACUUUGUCUUCAUAUGUCGCAAGACGCGUGGGUUCGAAUCCCACUCUUGUCA
rnacentral:tRNA from 2 species